ensembl:lncRNA
GCACUCACCUCAUUUAGUAGGAGACUCACAUUUUUCCCAGUCUUCCUUUUACUGCUGACAUACGUAAAAGAAAAAAAAACAACAAAAAAAAAAACACUUUCUUGUUAUCCUUUAUCUCCUUUGCAGUGUUUAAUUCCAAGACAGCCUCAGCCCUCCUUCAGGCCCUGAAAACAUUCCUUUAUUCUUCCUAGGUGAACAGGUCCUUUUACCACAUUUCAUGGACCUUCUUCUUUCCCUUUGAAUUAUCCAUGAGUUCCUUGCUCAUCCACACAGGCCUUUUGCCACCUUUCCCUGAUUUCUUACUCUUAGGGAUGCACCAAUCCUGAGCAUGGAAGAAGUGGUAUUUACAUGUCAACUAACUCUCAUGAACCCCCUCGCCUUCUAAUGCUCUAGCCCCUGGAAUACUUCCAAAUAGGUCUUUGAAGAUGUCAAAAUUAGCUCUCCUGAAGCCCAGGGUAGCAAUCCUGCUUAUUUCUUUGCUUCUUCCACACUGAACUCUGCCAUCUCAUGAUCACUGCAUCUCAACCUACCUCCAACUUUCACAUCCCCAGCCAGCCAGCCCUUCCCUAUUAGUAAGAACAAGGUCAAGUAGCGCACCCAUCCUCAUUGGUUCCUCUGCCACCACUGUCAGAAAGUUAUCUUCAACACAUUGCAAGAACCAUCUGGACCUUGUGUGUCUGGCCAUGUUGCUUAUCCAACAAACAUCAAGAUGAUUCAAGUCCCCCAUAAGAACCAGUGCUGAGGAUUACAAGGAUACUUCCAGCUGUUUUUAGAAGGCCUCAUCAACUUCUUCCUCCUGAUCAGGUGGCCUAUACUACACACCCACAGCAGUAUCACCUAUGUUAGCCCACCCCUUAAUUCUUACCCACAAGCUCUCCACUUUUUCAUCAUUCACCCCUAUGUGGAGCUCAAUGCAUUUUAGUUGCUCUCUCACAUAAAGAGCAACUCCACCACAUCUCCGGGCAACCCAUUCCACUGCUGCACCACUCUUACUGUAAAAACUUCUUCAUAAUAUCCAAUUUAAAUCUCCCCUCUUUUAGUUUGAAACCGUUUUCUCUUGUCCUAUCACCAAAGGUGCUGCUAAAGAGUCUGUUCCCUUCUGUCUUAUAGCCCCUCUUUAGAUACUGAAUGGCCGCCAUCAGGAUCACCUCCCUCAGCCUACUGUCUACGCUUCUUUUGAUGCAGCCCAGGAUACUGUUAGCUUUCACGUGUCCAGCUUACCAUCCACCAGUAUCCCCAGGUUCUUUUUGGCAGAGUUGUGCUCAAUCAUUUCAUCCACUAGCUUGUACUGACAGUGGAGAUUGCCUUGACUCUGGUGCAAUAUCAUGCACUUGGAUUUGUUGAACCUCCAAGUCCUCCUAUGCUCACAGCCUGUCUAGGUCCUUCUGGAUUGCACCCUGUCUGUCAGGUAUGUUGGCCACACACCCCAUCUUGGUGUAAUCUGCAAAAUUGCUGAGGGUGCACUCAACACCGCUGCUGAUGUCUUUGGUGAAGAUGUCAAAAGGGCAUCAAUCCCAGCACUGACCUCUGGGAGGCAUAACUUGUCACUGACUUCCAGACAGACAUUGAGCCAUUGACCAUCACUCUCGAGGUACAAUCUCAUAACCAGUUCCUCAUCCAUCAGACAGUCCACCCAUCAAAUCGAUAUAUUUCCAAUUUGGAGAGAAGAAUGGAAGAAUGUUGUGGAGCAUUUUGUCAAUGGCCUUACUGAUGUCCAGAUAGAUAACAUCAGUAGCUCUUCCCUUGUCCACUGAUGCAGCUGCACUAUCAUAACAAGCAACAAUGUUGGUCAGACAGGACCUGCCCUUGGUGAAGAGGACAUAUGAGGACAAAUUUUGUGCAUAGCACAGAACCACUAGAGUGAGUGGAAUUAUACCUGGUGAUAUUUUGCCCCAUCCAACUCUGCAUUUAUCAGUCAAAGCAGAUAAUUAGAUGUGUACACUUCCUUAAAAUCUUAUUUUUGCCAGAGGUUAGACAUGUGAAGAAUCAAAGUGACAGUCAUGGAGGCUUUGGUUCAGAACAGUAGCAGGAGCUGUGCAAUUGUGUGCAUUUAUAUGCGUAUGUAUGCGUGUCAGUGCAUAUAAAAAUAUUUUUCAGACAAACUUUAUAUCCUAGAUUUUAGAGAGGUCAUUUCACAUUAUGUGACUUUAGGAUUUGUUUUCCUGCAAGUGUUUUUAUAUCACAUUUGUUAAGUGUGCAAUGUGGAACUUUCUUAUGAAAUAGUGGUAUAAGAACACCAAGAAGCUACCACAGAGCUUUCAAACACAAACCUGCAUGUAGUAGGAAAGGGAAGUAUGGUCUUCAGUUUGUAUAAAAAAAAUGUAAUUAAAUUUAGGAGUAACUAUGAGAGGAAGAGAAACCAAGUAAACCACAUGUUCGUGAAUACAGCUGUGACUUAUUACUGAUCUUAAAAUAAUAAAUACUAUGCAAAGAUAGCUUAAAAAUUCAUGAGUAGUAUAUAGAAUAUCUGCCUUAAAAAGAAACAAAUUGAAAUACGCUGGCAGUUUUUCAUUUCCGACUAGCAGAAGAUAUGAAAGCAGUCUAUUAAAUAAUGACUGACAUACAUAGGUAUUCCUUGCUUCUUGCACCACAAAAAACAAAGAUUAUCAUGUUAAAGUAGAAUUUAGUAGGUCUAACACCGGUAUUAGGACCUUGAGGACUUCUUCACAGAGGGUGCUAGAGUUUUUGGGACUUAAUGUGAGUUCAGAUUGGGACUGGACAAGAAUUUUAGGAAUAUUUAGUUCUGGGAAGAUACUGUUUAAAGCCAGAAUCUGCCAUGUAACAAGCAAGGACAGUACGUCCCAUAUCUGCAUGGCAGGAGAAGAGUCUAAGAAAGUUUCUCAUUUGUUGUCACUUUUUUUUUUUUUAAAUCUCUGUAGGAAUGUUGCAUGAAGGAUCAUAAAAUAUGAAACAGCAAAUAACAGAUGAUAUGCCAUAAACUGUGUUUGCACUUGCCUUUAAGUUUGCUAUUAUGACUUAUUGUCAGAAAAUUUUAAAAGUUUUGUCAGAGUUUUUAUUUUUGCUGUAGUGUACAUACAUAUAAACUAUAGUGCAAACAUUUCCAGAAACAUAGCUUUUUGAUGUACUUCUUUAUGAAAGCACAAUAUGUUUGCAUGUAUGCUGGUUUUGUUUUAGAAGUUUAAAUUGUUUCCCCAAUGAAAGUUAAGAUUUCUUGUAUUUUAAUAUUUUCCAAUCAACUCUACUUUUAUAUUCUUCUGAAAAUUCUUAAGUGGAUUUUUUUUUUCAGCCAGUCUUGGAUCUGUAAUUUCUAAACUUCUGAAAAGCAACAUAAUUAGCCUUUCAAAUACUGGCCCAUAAUCAAGUCUUUUUUCUGCGUAAUCAAGAGAGCGGUUAAACAGCUGAGAGUCAUAAAAGAACAGGAAGAAUUUUAAGAUGCAGAGAAAUUAAAUUUGCUCCAGUUUUCAAAGGAUUAAUCCAGCCCUCAUCUCUCCUUUGACAUCUCUUGGCUACAUCCAAAUAGUCGUCUGCCUGUUCUUCCUCCACAAAAUAUGAAGGGAUGUUACUUGGGCUACCUCAUUCCCUGCCGGUUGCUAAUGGAAAAUAGUACUGCUGUGCAGGGAGACUUGUUUUAUAGGUGUUUUUCUUCUAUCUGGUUUUACAGUUCUCUACCGCCACUGUUCAGCAUUCCCUGGAUUGCUCUGCCGUUCUCUGGCCAUCCAUAUAUGUUUUGCAAACUGAGUGACACAAAGGCCUCUAAAAAAGGAAACACCUCUCACGAAACACUUUGCACUGUUCAUUGCUAUUUCUCUUAAGACAGGAGAACGGUUGCCUCCUAUCACCCUUAAGUUCCAUUUAAAAGCUGGUCAAUCCUACUGGAUACACCAGCCUUCCACUGCUCAGUCCUGGUGCCCGCAUAAGGACAGCUUUACAAAAUGAGUACUCCCUUUUCCCCUGCUAGGGCUUGACACACACUUGUAAGAUUAACAGCUAUGGAAUCUAGUGUUGUUUUAUUUUGUCGUCAGUUUUCAGUGAUAUCAUAGUCUUUUCAUUCCAGCACCUUUCACUUCCCAGUCCUUAAACUAAUACACUGAUCCCUAUUACUAAACAAACCAGACUAUAUCACCACCUUUUAAGCUGAGAUGUAGUUUUUCCUCUGUCCUCCUCCUUGUACAUACACUAGGCUGUGCAUAAACAGCAAAGCACAAGAACUUUACAGCAAGCAGUUCCAAGUCUAACUAGGGCCUAGAGUAGUGCCUACCUGAUAGCUGUGUAUAAUUUGAAGAACACUAACUGCAGAAUUUGCAAGUAUUUGAUUUAAAGAAUCUUAUAUUUUUAUUAGUUUUGCAGACUGACCAAAUAUGUUGUACUAUGGUUGAUUUUAUUGUGUAGCUACAUGGCUCUAUGCCCAUUGACUUCAAGCAAUUACAGCACUACUGCUGGAUCACAACAGUGCUAGACUGAAAGAACCACAGUAUGAAAUUUGCAACUACAGUUUAAUCUACUUUAAAAAUAUGAAAUCUAGUAUAGUUAAUAUGCCUAUCUUAAACUAAAAACUUUACCUGGAGAAAAUAAGUAGGUAUUUUUCAGUGCUCUGAUACUGACCUUAUUUUGAAUCAAUAACUCUCUGAUUAUUUUGCACAAAAACAACCAACCAAAAAAAAAAAAAACCAACACAAAACUCCGCUUAACUUAGUAGCAAUGGAGAAACGCAAGUCCAAAGAGAAAAAGCUCUGCCUCAAAUCUGAAGAACAGAAUUGAGAAUCCAUUCUUUUUUCCCCCACCUCUCAACAGAAGUCUGGGCUAGAAUUCUCUCUCUUAUACUUUAUUUAAAGGCCUCUCUGCUCUAUUUGUUUUUCUAGCAUACUGUCCGUAUGGUAAAAACUGUGUGGAAAAAAUAUAGAGAAGAAAGAAUUUGAACAUUACAGGGAAAGGUAUUUGAAAAAAAAAAAAAAUAACAUCUACACAAAACACGAUACAGUUGUGCUGUCUGUUGGGAUUUACCCAUGACUGUCCUUAGAGCCAAGAAAUACCAGAAGAGAGAUACUAUAGCUGGUAUUUGAAAAACUUCACGUACUCUCAGAAAGAUGCAUAUGAAAACAAUGAAAUUGGAAGCUUUUUUUUUUUUUUUUUUUUUAAAUAGGAAGCAGAUUGCCAUUUGGAAAAAUUGCAGUGAGGUUAUUCCAUGUUUCAAUUUCUCUUUGGGUGAUGGGAGGAAAAGUUCACCUUGAAAACCAGAGAGUUUUACAGCAGAAACAGAAGACAGCAGAAAGAACUGAUGUGACAGCUCAGUCUAACAGAAACAAACCCGCCUAUUCCCCUCAGAAACUGCUAGUAAGACAUAAUGCAGUGUCUGCCAGUGAACUGAAUCACUUUAACAUGACUCUCACAUGUCAUUUAUUAAGCUAAAUAGACAUAAAACUGCAAAUAUCAAAUUGCCUCUAUGUGGUAAUACACAAAAAUGAGAAUUAAAUGCAACUUCCCAUCCUGCUCCUGCCUUACAAAUAUUUAUCAGCCAAGAGAAUGAUCUACAAAAGCUUUUUUUUUUUUCAUUCUGCAAAUAUCACAAUAAGACAUUAACCCUUUUAUCACAACAUGCGCAAUAUGCCUUACUAGUACAAUUUCUUCUCUGAAAGAAGAAAGGGCCACAUAACUUUCUCUGCCCAGAUACAACACUGUAUGACAAAAGCCUGGAGGGACUGGGGAUACCCCUUAUCAACACCAUUUUUUUGAGGCUUACAAUUUAUAUGGGAUUUUUUGUUUUUAUUUUGUUUGGUUUUUUUGCUGUUCUGUUUGUUUGUUAUUUACUAAGUUUCCUGGACAAGGAAUGCAUCGGUUUUAAUAAUGCACAUACUAUUGCAAUAUAUAAUUAUCACUAUGAAUAUUGAAAUCUUAACAGUAAUCUGCAGUUAGAGCAUUUUCAGAAGAUACAAAAUCAAAUAAAAGUGUAAUUUCUCUCAAUAAAGAGUGAUUUAUUAUUACCCAGAUUGUGCAGUAGUCAAUUUUACUCAGUUUUACCCGCAAAAGAUGCUAGUGUCUACCUGUUCAGAACACACGCUCCUG